GACGAACGCUGGCGGCGUGCUUAACACAUGCAAGUCGAACGGAAAGGCCCUGCUUGCAGGGUUCUCGAGUGGCGAACGGGUGAGUAACACGUGGGUGAUCUGCCCUGCACUUCGGGAUAAGCCUGUGCAACUGGGUCUAAUACCGGAUAGGAGCCAUUUUUAGUGUGAUGGUUGGAAAGUUUUUUCGGUGUAGGAUGAGCUCGCGGCCUAUCAGCUUGUUGGUGGGGUAAUGGCCUACCAAGGCGGCGACGGGUAGCCGGCCUGAGAGGGUGGACGGCCACAUUGGGACUGAGAUACGGCCCAGACACCGACGGGAGGGAGCAGUGGGGAAGAUUGCACAAGGGGCGCAAGCCUGAUGCAGCGACGCCGCGUGGGGGAUGACGGCCUUCGGGUUGUAAAAGCCAUUCGCUAGGGACGAAGCUUUUUGUGACGGUACCUAGAUAAGAAGCACCGGCUAACUACGUG
rnacentral:rRNA from 1 species